rfam:Mus musculus chromosome 4, GRC primary reference assembly.
GGUGAUAUAGCUCAGUGGUGAGAGCAUUUGCCUAACAUGCAAAAGUCCUGGGUUCAAUUCCCAGUACCAUAG